rnacentral:ncRNA from 1 species
UAAUAAGGCAAAUUCGUUGAAAGACGGAGACGCAAAGCUAAGAUGGCUAAGUGAUUUUAUCAUAUGCUCGAUCGGCUGC